rnacentral:rRNA from 1 species
UGUGACCUCAAAUCAGGUAGGACUACCCGCUGAACUUAAGCAUAUCAAUAAGCGGAGGAAAAGAAACUAACAAGGAUUCCCCUAGUAACUGCGAGUGAAGCGGGAAAAGCUCAAAUUUAAAAUCUGGCGGUCUUUUGGCUGUCCGAGUUGUAAUCUAGAGAAGUGUUAUCCGCGCUGGACCGUGUACAAGUCUCCUGGAAUGGAGCAUCAUAGAGGGUGAGAAUCCCGUCUUUGACAUGGACUGCCAGGGCUUUUGUGAUGCGCUCUCAAAGAGUCGAGUUGUUUGGGAAUGCAGCUCAAAAUGGGUGGUAAAUUCCAUCUAAAGCUAAAUAUUGGCGAGAGACCGAUAGCGAACAAGUACCGUGAGGGAAAGAUGAAAAGAACUUUGGAAAGAGAGUUAAACAGUACGUGAAAUUGCUGAAAGGGAAACGCUUGAAGUCAGUCGCGUCAUCCAGGGAUCAACCUUGCUUUUGCUUGGUGCACUUCCUGGUUUGAUGGGUCAGCAUCAAUUUUGGCCGCUGGAAAAAGGCUGAGGGAAUGUGGCAUCUUCGGAUGUGUUAUAGCCCUUAGUCACAUACAGUGGCUGGGAUUGAGGAACUCAGCACGCCGCAAG